UUUACCCUAACCGAAGCGCUCAGAUAAAAACUUGGGGGAUGUGUGUCAGGGAACGCUCCAGGAGCCGGCUGAGGGAUGAGGCUGCCGGGGGGGCGGGCAGAGCCACCCUCCACCUGGGCAGGGCAGGACAGGGCAGGGCAGGGCAGACGCGCAUCCCCCCGGUCUGGCCCGGGCACAUCGCAGCGGGACGGACCCAACUUUUCCCGGCGCGGGCUGGGAACGGGGAGCCGGGGGUGCGGAGCCGGGCAGCCCCUCUGCUCCCGGGGCGGGGCGGAGGCGGGCGCUCCCCGCGGUCGCGGAGCGGUGGGGCGGGGGCAGCGCGCCCUGUGCUGCUGCCGUGCCUCGGCAGGCAACGCCGCAGCCCCGCGGGCGGAGAGCGCUGCCCCCCCCCCCCCCCCCCCGCACCGCACCGCACCGGAGACCGGCCCGGGCGGCUCCGUCCUGCCCCGCCGCCGCGAUGAGGAGGAGCGCUUGGGGAGCCGCGCCGUACGCCGCGGGGCUCUGGCACGGCGAUGGACAAGGCCUCUUCUAUGGACAUUGAACUCCCAGCUACCUAUGCCUAUUGCCUGUGAUGGAAGAACUUGAUGUUAAUGUGAGUUCGAGUGAGGGCUUCAGCGUAGCGGAGAAGAUCGUGCUGCUCACCUUCAUCUCCGCCGUUAUACUGAUGGCCAUCCUGGGGAACCUGCUGGUGAUGGUGGCCGUGUGCCGGGACAGGCAGCUCAGGAAAAUCAAGACCAAUUAUUUCAUUGUUUCCCUUGCCUUUGCGGACCUGCUGGUGUCGGUGCUGGUGAUGCCGUUUGGAGCCAUCGAGCUGGUUCAGGACAACUGGAUCUAUGGAGAGAUGUUCUGCCUGGUCCGAACGUCCCUCGAUGUCCUGCUCACCACAGCGUCAAUCCUGCACCUGUGCUGUAUCUCUCUGGACAGGUACUAUGCUAUCUGCUGCCAGCCUCUGGUUUACAGGAACAAGAUGACUCCACUGCGCAUCGCUGUAAUGCUUGGAGGGUGCUGGGUAAUCCCAACAUUUAUUUCUUUCCUCCCUAUCAUGCAAGGCUGGAAUAGCAUUGGCAUCAUUGAUCUGAUUCAGCAAAGGCAGUUCAACAAGGCUUCCAACUCUACCUACUGCAUAUUCAUGGUCAACAAGCCAUACGCCAUUACCUGCUCCGUGGUGGCCUUCUACAUUCCCUUCCUCCUGAUGGUGCUGGCCUACUACCGCAUCUACGUCACGGCCAGGGAUCAUGCUCGCCAGAUCCGGGUGCUGCAGCGUGCAGGGGCCCCCACCGAUGGCCGGCAGCACCACCCGGACCAGCACAGCACACACCGCAUGAAGACUGAGACCAAAGCUGCCAAGACCCUGUGCAUCAUCAUGGGGUGCUUCUGCCUGUGCUGGGCCCCCUUCUUUAUCACAAACAUAGUGGACCCUUUCAUAAACUACACGGUGCCAGGGAAGCUGUGGACGGCUUUCCUGUGGCUGGGCUACAUCAAUUCAGGGUUGAACCCUUUCCUCUACGCCUUCCUGAACAAGUCUUUCAGACGUGCCUUCCUCAUCAUCCUGUGCUGCGGUGAUGAGCGAUACCGAAGGCCUUCCAUCUUGGGGCAGACGGUCCCCUGUUCCACCACCACAAUAAAUGGAUCGACUCAUGUACUAAGGGUAAACAGCUGGAAGUGCUGAGCUAACUGCCAGAGGCUUCAGACAGACUCUUUGUGCCACAGGAGAUCCUGGGACAUCUUAAUGACUUCUUUUUAGCUUAAUGCAUCUUUGUAAAAAAUGGCACCACCUGCUAAAUUGCUGAUCUUGCACAACUGUUUUCUGACUACUGCAGAAGAAGAAGAAGAAAGGUACACUGUUUUACGUAACGGGCAUCAUCAGGAACAUGAGAAGCUUCCCAUCCACAAUGACCCUGAAUCCCAAGAAUCCUGUUUCUAGUCACAGUCCUAGAAGAGAAAUGGCCCAGCUGGAGGAACAGAUUCCUUUUAGGAUACCCAAAGGAUUCAUGGACAGCAGGACUUCAUGAAAACUCAUUCAUCUGUAUUGUCCUUGUGCCUCCUGCACCGACUCAUACAGAUGUCCAGCUGCACAUGUGUAGAUCGAUGGGGGCAUGGGAAGGCACAUGAGCACAACGGCUGAGGAGACUCCUGUAUCUGCAAGGGCGGCUGGGCUGUAUGACUGCAUCAGAGCCUUACUCCAGGAGUGAGCUGAUUUCUGUCAAUGUAAGGAAACAACACAGAUACAAACCACCCAGUGCAGGGACUCCUGUUAUUCCUUUCCAGCUGCCAUCUGUGUACAAGGCACCCCUCUGUCCCGUGACACCAUGAUGUUAAAGAUUACAAGUUCUGGCUAAAGCCCUAUCAUGAUGUGAGACUAAAUGCCUGCUUUAUCUGCGCAAGAUCCUGCCCGCCCAUGACCGGAUGCUGUCAGGAGAGAAACAGCACUAUGUUUUCGUUAGCAAAAUAAGAGGAAUGUUUGCCUUUUGAUUAUAGUCGCUGGUGAAAGGUCAGCAUGAGCUGCUGCUUCACCCUACUCUGCAGAGCUUUCUUUGUAAAUGCUUUCAUUGUGUUUCCUGGCCAAGUUCAUUGGUAGAGACUCAUAGGGUGUAUACAGUGCCUGACAAGCUGGAGUGGGACCCGCCGAGGCAUUUCACUGCUAACAGACGGCUCUGCAAGCGCUGCUUCAAUCCAGCCCAAGUGCUAAAAGACAGUGACCAUCCUCUGCCAUUCGGAGGCCAACGGACGGGACGUGCCCCUCAAACCCCAGGCAAGCCACCGUGCUGGCCUCAUCUGAGCAAACUUUGGGCAUUCUUACCAAGAAGAAAGGUUGGCCAAGAGAAAGAGUCAGCCUGUAAUAGAUCACUAAGUGCCGUCUUGAAAAAUACACCGUCUAAAAACUUUUCUAGUUUCAAUAAGAAGACAAACUUCUACUUACAUUUUCCAUCUUUAUUUUUCUAUUUGUUUCUGUUCCCUUCCAGUUGAGGCAAGAAUUUUCAAGACUUUCAAAUAUCACCAUAUGCACAUCUCUGUUUGCAAAGAGUCCUUUGCAGUUCCUUAGCUGCUUCCUGCAUGUAGAUGUUGCAAUGUUCCUUGUGCGCUGCUUCCACCUUUGCAUGGAAAGGGUAGGCAAGGCCGUAGACAUCGCAACUUUGGGAAAAUUACUUUCAUGGAGUGGGAAAUGUGCAGGAUCAAGACUACAAGCCUCUACGUUUUUUAGAUGAAGAUCUAACCCAGAGAUGCCACCCUGAGCCUAGAAAAUAAAAUUGUACUUUGUUAUAUUGUGCAAUCAUGUACAGAUAUUUUUAAUGUAAAAAGAAAAGGUGACAUUAUUUAUUAUUUUUUAUCAGGAACAUGUAGGUUUUUUCAUUAAAAGCUUCUAGACCCAGGAGCUUAACAUUAUAUGUAUUAUUAUUUAGUAAUAUUUCUGUUGCUAUGUGACAGGUAUUUACUGUAAACAAACAAACAAAUCCUGCUUUGAACAAACAAAAAUGUUACUCAGUAGGAAAAACAAAUUGUGCAUGAUAAGAACAACUGGCUUCCUUGCCAUGGUGUCUGACUGCUUUAAAUACUUCUUCCACAUAAAUGUCACUGAGAAAGCUUCACAUCAUUUUCCUUUAGGAUUCAAAAGGACACUGGGCAGAAACAGCCCUAAUUAGAAGCCAGACACUUACCAAUGUAGAAAAUUGCUAGCAGUUAGAGAGACAAACGAUUGGUGUUUGUGGUGAUAGGUGCCGAUGGGAAGAACUUGAGCUAUUUGAAAAGAGACGGUGAGAGAGUUUGAGCCAAUUCCUGGUUCAUCAUUAGGAACGGUUGGGCAAUGACAUGUUUUUGCAGGGUUGUGUUUCCAAAAGAACUUGCUAUCUGUUCAACUCUAUUGUUAACACCAAAACAGAGCAGUGGGUGAAAAAAAUAAGCCGUUAUUGGAUGUUUUGGAAAACAUCCAUCCAGGGCCACUUCAAUCCUUUGAUCUAUACUUCUGUGGAACUGCUCGCAUGAGUUUUUGUCUGGAUUUGGGUAUGCAAGACUGCAGAACAGGUUGCCUUGGUUUCACCUCAAGUAUCAAAUUUCUUAAAGAAAUCCUAGGAAAGCUUUUCUCUGUCCCCAUUAAAAGGCAUCAAAAUAUUGGUGUGAAAUUUCUUGGAGUGAUAUGGAUCCAGCAGCAUGGGGAUGCAAUAGUGAUGGUGUUCUUUGUUUCCACUGUUGUCCUUGAAGUGUUGUUUUCUCCUAUAUUUUUGUGCUUUAGUAAUAUAUCUCUUCUAAAUUUAAAAUGAACUUCUCAACACUGAAUUUUACUCAUGGACAAUGUUCAGAAGGCUCUGUCAAUGGGAUCGGUAGCUCACUAGCCAAAACGGUCAACAUCUCUGAUUGGAAAAAAGGCUCCAAUUCCAAACACUGUAUUUGAAUGAAUGCUAAACACAAAAUGUCCAUGUUCUGUGUCAUCUCUGGCUAGUUGCUUGUUGGACUCAGUAAAUCUGUCAUGAACCACCUGGCCGCUCCUGCUUCUCAGCAAUGCUUCCGUGAACCCAGCAAAUGACAUUGUCCAUCAUCAAUAAUGUUAGAAUUUCUAUGGAAAAGCAGCUGUCUCAUGGAAAGGACCCAUACUUCAUUUCCUUUGCUAAAGGUGGCCGCUCGUGUAGCCUCUGAGUCCAUCCUCCCAUUGACCAUUUUGGCUAGUGGUGUCAGAGUCUUUGCCUGUGCUGAAUAAUGUGUAACGCAUUGGCUGUUUCUAAGAAUAAAAAAUCCUCUAUGUACAUUGC